rnacentral:lncRNA from 1 species
GAAAUGGUUCAUCUUUCCUUUUUACAGGUACAGGUGAACAAAGGCAGAGUAAACUGUCACCCCAGAUGCAGGUACAUCAAGACAAAACCCUGCCACCAGCUCAGUCAUCAAGUGUGGGUCCAGCAGAAGCCCAGCCACAGACUGCUCAGCCUUCAGCUCAGCCCCAGCCCCAAACCCAGCCCCAGUCCCCAGCUCAGCCUGAAGUUCAGACUCAGCCUGAAGUUCAGACCCAAACAACUGUUUCAUCCCAUGUCCCUUCUGAAGCACAACCCACCCACGCACAGUCAUCCAAGCCCCAAGUUGCAGCACAGUCUCAGCCUCAAAGUAAUGUCCAAGGACAGUCUCCUGUUCGUGUCCAAAGUCCAUCACAGACUCGAAUACGUCCAUCAACUCCAUCCCAACUGUCUCCUGGACAACAAUCCCAGGUUCAGACUACAACCUCACAACCGAUUCCAAUUCAACCACAUACAUCUCUUCAGAUACCUUCCCAAGGCCAGCCACAGUCACAACCCCAGGUGGUGAUGAAGCAUAAUGCUGUAAUAGAACAUUUAAAACAGAAAAAGAGCAUGACUCCAGCUGAAAGAGAAGAGAAUCAAAGGUAGGGGAGACGCAGGGUCUUGUUGUCUGUCCGUCUCUUCUCUUUAUCGUGCACACGCACAGAGUUCUGAGUUUAUACUUGUUUAUCUUGAUUGAAGUUCAUUAAAUGAGAACACUUGGCACUAAUAGUUACUCAUAACUGGUUUGAACCACUCUUGACGUUUUCCAGUCACAGAAAGUUUUUGUCUCAUCUGUAGAGGCAUAGAAGAAUGAUGUCUUAAGCCUUUCAAAAUGAAACGCCCAGCAUUACAUAGGUUGUGUAUUUUUCUCUAGAAUGAUUGUCUGUAACCAGGUGAUGAAGUAUAUUUUGGAUAAGAUAGAUAAAGAAGAAAAACAGGCAGCAAAAAAACGGAAGCGUGAAGAGAGUGUGGAGCAGAAACGUAGCAAGCAGAAUGCCACUAAGCUGUCAGCUCUGCUCUUCAAGCACAAAGAGCAGCUCAGAGCCGAGAUCCUGAAGAAGAGAGCACUCCUGGACAAGGAUCUGCAAAUUGAAGUGCAGGAAGAGCUGAAGAGAGACC